GAUGAAGAACGUAGCGAAAUGCGAUACGUAAUGUGAAUUGCAGAAUUCAGUGAAUCAUCGAGUCUUUGAACGCACAUUGCGCCCCCUGGUAUUCCGGGGGGCAUGCCUGUCCGAGCGUCAUUACAACCCUCAAGCUCAGCUUGGUAUUGGGCCCCGCCGCUCCGGCGGGCCCUAAAGUCAGUGGCGGUGCCGUCCGGCUCCGAGCGUAGUAAUUCUUCUCGCUCUGGAGGCCCGGUCGUGUGCUCGCCAGCAACCCCCAAUUUUUUUCAGGUUGACCUCGGAUCAGGUAGGGAUACCCGCUGAACUUAAGCAUAUCAAUAAGCGGAGGA
rnacentral:misc_RNA from 1 species